CCACACUCUUAAGUUUCUCCUCCUCCUCUCUCUUUCUAUUGUCUCUCUCUCUCACACACACACACACACAAAAACUUUCACACACACAUAUAUUCCUGACUUGUAUAGAGAUAUUAUUGAAAGUUCAUGUAUGUUUGGAUCUGCAAUUGGUAGUACAUACCAUCCCAUUUUAGUGGGAUUUUGUGAUAUUCUGUAGCUAAUUUCUCUUCCAUAUAUACAUGGUAGAUUUUGAUUGAUUGUUGAAUUUCUAUGCUUUUAACUGAUGUAUGAGCUGUAGAAUCCAAUGCGCUUGCUGCUUUCGUUUUCUUGAUUUCUGUUUUUCCCUGGUUUUUAUUGCAGGAAAAUAAAAAUUGAAAAUAGGGUUAAUGUUUUUAGUUUUGUUAUCCCUUUUGAGGUAGAUGAGAUUCUUGUUUGCUAUUGCCAUCGUCAAUUUUUUUAUUUAAGGCCUCUCUCUCUAUUACUAAUGAAUUUGAGUUUCUUCAGUCUCUCUCUCUCUCUCUCUUCACAGACACAGAAACAGACACAGUAUAUACUUUUACUGUCUCUAUUUGUAGGAGAGUGAGCCUGGAUCUGUGGAUGCAUAUAUAUGAGUCGUUGUUUUCUGGUGCAGCAUCAUCAAGAUUCACAAGACAAAGGGUUAUUAGUGAUCUCUCUCUCUUUUUCUCUCCACUCCAUGAGAAUCUUGAUGAUGCUGCAUCGGCAAUAAAUGACUAUUGCCGGCAAAAGGCGCAGAAAACCCUUUGUUCAUCAACCUUGCUACUUUUGCUUCUUUUUUUUUUUUUUCUAUUAUUUUCUCUGCUUUCCUUAUUUUUAUUCAUUAUUACUAUUGUUUCUGUCAGAAUCCGACACAAGUGACUACUGAUGGAAGUAAUUCAGUCUGCAGGUGUAAUAGAUCUGAGAUAUUUUAUCUUGUUUUUGAUAACAAAAUAAGGGGUUUCCUAAUUAAUUAACAACUAAUUUAAGACUAAUUUCCUUGAUUUUUAGCAUGAAUCUUAAACUAAUACACAGCAAAACACAAGUUCUAUGGGAGGCCAAGCCACUGGACAUGUGAAAACUAACACAGAUCAAGAAGAAUUGGAGAAUUGAAGUUCACACACACAGGUACAGAAAGAGAGAGAGGCGUAUGUAUGUGGUUUUUAAGAUACAAAAAGUGAAGAGAUUCUUUGGAAUUUGCUUAAGCAGCUGAAUGGUCCAUGAUGGUGAUGUCUCAGCACUUGUCUUCUCAUAGCCACGAGAUCAACGAGACUUGAUAACAAAACACCUUUAGCUUACAUUUAUAAUGGAGCAGUACUAUAUAUUACUAGUAGUUUCUUACUAUUUUACUGCUUUUUUUUAAUGUAAUGCAAUAUAUUCGACUCAAAUAUUAAUUUGAAAUGAAAUAAAAAGUAUAAAAACAACAUAUAAUUUGGAAGAAA